GCAGCCCCUAGAAGUGUUGCAGGUAUGGCUUUUGUCACCUGUGGAUCGGUAGGUGGCAGAGAGGAGAGAGGCUAUGUUUACUCUCAGCAUUCCAACCUAUGAACAUCUGAAGUAUUAUCAACCUAACAUC